ACUCCUACGGGAGGCAGCAGUGGGAAUAUUGGACAAUGGGGGCAACCCUGAUCCAGAAAUGCCGCGUGAGUGAUGAAGGCCUUAGGGUUGUAAAGCUCUUUCAACUGUGAAGAUGAUGACGGUAACAGUAGAAGAAGCUCCGGCUAACUCCGUGCCAGCAGCCGCGGUAAUACGGAGGGAGCUAGCGUUGUUCGGAAUUACUGGGCGUAAAGCGCGCGUAGGCGGACUGGAAAGUUGGGGUGAAAUCCCAGGGCUCAACCCUGGAACUGCCUCCAAAACUAUCAGUCUAGAGUUCGAGAGAGGUGAGUGGAAUUCCGAGUGUAGAGGUGAAAUUCGUAGAUAUUCGGAGGAACACCAGUGGCGAAGGCGGCUCACUGGCUCGAUACUGACGCUGAGGUGCGAAAGUGUGGGGAGCAAACAGGAUUAGAUACCCUGGUAGGCUCUGC
rnacentral:rRNA from 1 species